GACGAACGCUGGCGGCGUGCUUAACACAUGCAAGUCGAACGAUGAUCAGGAGCUUGCUUCUGUGAUUAGUGGCGAACGGGUGAGUAACACGUGAGUAACCUGCCCCUGACUCUGGGAUAAGCGUUGGAAACGACGUCUAAUACUGGAUAUGACUUCCGGCCGCAUGGUCUGGUUGUGGAAAGAUUUUUUGGUUGGGGAUGGACUCGCGGCCUAUCAGCUUGUUGGUGAGGUAAUGGCUCACCAAGGCGACGACGGGUAGCCGGCCUGAGAGGGUGACCGGCCACACCUGGGACUGAGACACGGCCCAGACUCCUACGGGAGGCAGCAGUGGGGAAUAUUGCACAAUGGGCGAAAGCCUGAUGCAGCAACGCCGCGUGAGGGAUGACGGCCUUCGGGUUGUAAACCUCUUUUAGUAGGGAAGAAGCGAAAGUGACGGUACCUGCAGAAAAAGCACCGGCUAACUACGUGCCAGCAGCCGCGGUAAUACGUAGGGUGCAAGCGUUGUCCGGAAUUAUUGGGCGUAAAGAGCUCGUAGGCGGUUUGUCGCGUCUGCUGUGAAAUCCCGAGGCUCAACCUCGGGCUUGCAGUGGGUACGGGCAGACUAGAGUGCGGUAGGGGAGAUUGGAAUUCCUGGUGUAGCGGUGGAAUGCGCAGAUAUCAGGAGGAACACCGAUGGCGAAGGCAGAUCUCUGGGCCGUAACUGACGCUGAGGAGCGAAAGCAUGGGGAGCGAACAGGAUUAGAUACCCUGGUAGUCCAUGCCGUAAACGUUGGGCGCUAGAUGUAGGGACCUUUCCACGGUUUCUGUGUCGUAGCUAACGCAUUAAGCGCCCCGCCUGGGGAGUACGGCCGCAAGGCUAAAACUCAAAGGAAUUGACGGGGGCCCGCACAAGCGGCGGAGCAUGCGGAUUAAUUCGAUGCAACGCGAAGAACCUUACCAAGGCUUGACAUACACCGGAAACGGCCAGAGAUGGUCGCCCCCUUGUGGUCGGUGUACAGGUGGUGCAUGGUUGUCGUCAGCUCGUGUCGUGAGAUGUUGGGUUAAGUCCCGCAACGAGCGCAACCCUCGUUCUAUGUUGCCAGCGGGUUAUGCCGGGGACUCAUAGGAGACUGCCGGGGUCAACUCGGAGGAAGGUGGGGAUGACGUCAAAUCAUCAUGCCCCUUAUGUCUUGGGCUUCACGCAUGCUACAAUGGCCGGUACAAAGGGCUGCGAUACCGUAAGGUGGAGCGAAUCCCAAAAAGCCGGUCUCAGUUCGGAUUGAGGUCUGCAACUCGACCUCAUGAAGUCGGAGUCGCUAGUAAUCGCAGAUCAGCAACGCUGCGGUGAAUACGUUCCCGGGCCUUGUACACACCGCCCGUCAAGUCAUGAAAGUCGGUAACACCCGAAGCCGGUGGCCUAACCCUUGUGGAAGA
rnacentral:rRNA from 1 species